UGGGGAAUUUUCCGCAAUGGGCGAAAGCCUGACGGAGCAACGCCGCGUGAGGGAGGAAGGCUUUUGGGUUGUAAACCUCUUUUCUCAAGGAAGAUUUCAGACGGUACUUGAGGAAUCAGCAUCGGCUAACUCCGUGCCAGCAGCCGCGGUAAUACGGAGGAUGCAAGCGUUAUCCGGAAUAAUUGGGCGUAAAGCGUUCGUAGGUGGUUUUGUAAGUCUGCUGUUAAAGCGUGUAGCUUAACUACAUAUAGGCGGUGGAAACUACAAAACUAGAGUGCGUUCGGGGCAGAGGGAAUUCCUAGUGUAGCGGUGAAAUGCGUAGAGAUUAGGAAGAACACCGGUGGCGAAAGCGCUCUGCUAGGCCGCAACUGACACUGAGGGACGAAAGCGAGGGGAGCGAAUGGGAUUAGAUACCCCGGUAGUCC
rnacentral:rRNA from 1 species